AUUGAACGCUGGCGGCAGGCCUAACACAUGCAAGUCAAACGGUAACAGGAAGAAGCUUGCUUCUUUGCUGACGAGUGGCGGACGGGUGAGUAAUGUCUGGGAAACUGCCUGAUGGAGGGGGAUAACUACUGGAAACGGUAGCUAAUACCGCAUAAUGUCGCAAGACCAAAGAGGGGGACCUUCGGGCCCCUUGCCAUCGGAUGUGCCCAGAUGGGAUUAGCUAGUAGGUGGGGUAACGGCUCACCUAGGCGACGAUCCCUAGCUGGUCUGAGAGGAUGACCAGCCACACUGGAACUGAGACACGGUCCAGACUCCUACGGGAGGCAGCAGUGGGGAAUAUUGCACAAUGGGCGCAAGCCUGAUGCAGCUAUGCCGCGUGUAUGAAGAAGGCCUUCGGGUUGUAAAGUACUUUCAGCGGGGAGGAAGGGAGUAAAGUUAAUACCUUUGCUCAUUGACGUUACCCGCAGAAGAAGCACCGGCUAACUCCGUG
rnacentral:rRNA from 1 species